UGCUGUCAUGGGCUCCGUGUCCUCCCUCCCAGCCCCCAAAUCACCUCCUGCCUGUGUCCUGCGGCUCCCAGGGCUCCCUGCAGCCUCUGCCACUGCCCGAGGCGCCGCUGGAUUUGCUGCCGGAGCCGCCGCAGGACGCGGAGAGCGCGGCUGGGGGAGGGCAGGGAUGAGCUGCGGGGACAGGGAGGGAGGGAGGCUCGCACGAGUGGGACCCCCCCGUCCCCCUGGGCAGCUCCUGGGACCCACCCGAGCGCUGCCGGCGAGGGGCCGGGUCCCACGGCACUGCUGGGGCGGGGGGGGGUCCCCAGGGCCCGGGAGCCCCCAGCCCGCCCCGGCACCGCCGCAUCCCGCGGGCGGCUCGGGAGAUGCUCCCGCAGGACGCUCCUGCCGGCCCGAUCCUGGAGGAGCAGGGAGAGAGGGAUCAGAGCUCUGCCCCCCGAGCCCACGCAGCCUCUGCUAGGAAAGCUCUGGAGCCAGGUCAGAGCUUCAGGGAACAUCCGCAGCCCCCAGGGCCGAGCAGAGGUUUGGCAGGAGCAGAACAAGCACAGAAACACCCGGAGGGCGCCUCCUCUGCCCCCCGAGCCCCCUCCCAGCCCAGUCCGUGCCCCCGACACCUCUGUCCCCCCCAGGCCCUCUCCCGGAGAGGACAAAACCUCUGGGUGGCCUCAGAGGAGCAGCACAUCUGGGCUGCUGUGCCCCCCGGCUCUGGGGCUGGCUGUGUCCUGGAGCUGCCCCAUAUCCCCAGCGCUCCCUCCUCCCUUCCCUGACCUGCUCCAGGGCCUCCCGGAGCUGCCGAAGGGUCUCCGCCUUGUCCCUCUGGAGCAGCCCGUGGAGCCGCUGCAGGACCCGCAGCCGCUGCUGCAGGAGGGAGCGGCUGCCCCGCUCCAGCUCCCGCAGCCUCUGCAGGAGGAGCAGAGUCACCCUCUGGCUGCCCAGGGCCACCCCCGGCUCCUGCAGGGCUCUUCCCACGGGCAGUGUCCAGGUCCCUCCCGGCCAGGGCGGCACCACCCCCGCCUUGACGCCCAUUGGAAAAGAGCUGAGGUUUGGUGGGUCAGUGCCCAGGAAUUCUCACCCCUGCCUGCUUCUCUGCCCUUCCCAAAAUUCCAGCUCUCCCUGUCUCUGCUGGGGCUCUCCAGGGACCUUCUGACCUGCAGACAGUCACCCCAGUUUUCCUACAGCCACAAGGGUGGUUUUCCCCACAAAUCCUUCUCCUAA
rnacentral:lncRNA from 1 species